rnacentral:rRNA from 1 species
UUGACCUCAAAUCAGGUAGGACUACCCGCUGAACUUAAGCAUAUCAAUAAGCGGAGGAAAAGAAACUAACAAGGAUUCCCUUAGUAACUGCGAGUGAAGCGGGAAAAGCUCAAAUUUAAAAGCUGGCAGUCUUUGAUUGUCCGCAUUGUAAUCUAGAGAAGUGUUACCCGCGUUGGACCGUGUAUAAGUCUCCUGGAAUGGAGCGUCGUAGAGGGUGACAAUCCCGUCUUUGACACGGAUAACCAAGGCUUUUGUGGUGCGCUCUCAAAGAGUCGAGUUGUUUGGGAAUGCAGCUCAAAAUGGGUGGUAAAUUCCAUCUAAAGCUAAAUAUUGGCGAGAGACCGAUAGCGAACAAGUACCGUGAGGGAAAGAUGAAAAGAACUUUGGAAAGAGAGUUAAACAGUACGUGAAAUUGCUGAAUGGGAAACGCUUGAAGUCAGUCGCGUUAACUUUGAGAUCAACUCAGCUUGUGUUGGGCUUAUUCUCUUAUUGACGGGUCAGCAUCAGUUUUGAUUAUUGGAAAAGGGUGAAGGGAAUGUGGCAUCUUCGGAUGUGUUAUAGCCCUUCAUCGUAUACAGUGGUUGAGACUGAGGAACUCAGCA